UACGGAGGGUGCAUGCGUUAAUCGGAAUUACUGGGCGUAAAGCGCACGCAGGCGGUUUGUUAAGUCAGAUGUGAAGUCCCCGGGCUCAACCUGGGAACUGCAUUUGAAACUGGCAAGCUAGAGUCUCGUAGAGGGGGGUAGAAUUCCAGGUGUAGCGGUGAAAUGCGUAGAGAUCUGGAGGAAUACCGGUGGCGAAGGCGGCCCCCUGGACGAAGACUGACGCUCAGAUGCGGAAGCGUGGGGAGCAAACAGG
rnacentral:rRNA from 1 species